rnacentral:rRNA from 1 species
AUGGCCCACAUAUCAGAUAUUAAACUGAUAAGAACAGAUACUACACUUGAUCUUAGCCAAAAGGCCGAGAAAGGUAUGAGUUGCAAUGCUGAGGCAGGUCUCCUUUUAUAG